AUAUGCCAUUGAGUGGGGGACAACAGUUGGAAACGACUGCUAAUACCGCAUAACGUCUACGGACCAAAGGGGGGGAUCUUCGGACCUCUCGCUCAUUGAUUAGCCCAAGUGAGAUUAGCUAGUUGGUAAGGUAAUGGCUUACCAAGGCGACGAUCUCUAGCUGGUUUGAGAGGAUGAUCAGCCACACUGGGACUGAGACACGGCCCAGACUCCUACGGGAGGCAGCAGUGGGGAAUAUUGCACAAUGGGCGAAAGCCUGAUGCAGCCAUGCCGCGUGUGUGAAGAAGGCCUUCGGGUUGUAAAGCACUUUCAGUAAGGAGGAAAGGGAUGUAGUUAAUAGCUGCAUUCUGUGACGUUACUUACAGAAGAAGCACCGGCUAACUUCGUGCCAGCAGCCGCGGUAAUACGAGGGGUGCAAGCGUUAAUCGGAAUUACUGGGCGUAAAGCGUUCGUAGGCGGUUAUUUAAGCAAGAUGUGAAAGCCCAGGGCUCAACCUUGGAACUGCAUUUUGAACUGGAUGACUAGAGUACUGUAGAGGGUGGUGGAAUUUCCAGUGUAGCGGUGAAAUGCGUAGAGAUUGGAAGGAACAUCAGUGGCGAAGGCGGCCACCUGGACAGAUACUGACGCUGAGGAACGAAAGCGUGGGGAGCGAACAG
rnacentral:rRNA from 1 species